UGCGCCCGAAGCCACUAGGCCGAGGGCACGUCUGCCUGGGUGUCACGCAACGUCGCCAGCUCCCAAUCCUAUGGGCAUGGCGGAUGAUGGCCUCCCGGGAGCCUCGCCUCCCGGCUGGCCGAAAAAGGGGCCCAGAGUGACGGCUGCCACGAUCCACGGUGGUUGAGUGAAAAUUCGCUCGAGGCCAAGACGUGCGCGGGUCGUCACACGGCAAGGGCCCGUCGGCUAGGGCUCGCGACCGCGCAGAGCCCCUCCACUCGUACGCGACCCCAGGUCAGGCGGGGCUACCCGCUGAGUUUAAGCAUAUCAAUAAGCGGAGGAAAAGAAACUAACGAGGAUUCCCCU
rnacentral:rRNA from 1 species